AUAUCUUAUAUGUAGUCUAUAUAUACUAAAUAUUGAAGCGUAUUUACAGUUGAUUGUGGCUGCAGUUGUUCAUAAAAAAGAGACUGAAAACAAAAAUAGUAUUAAAUCACAUUUCAAAGGAAAAACAUGAUUGUUUCUUUUGUAAAUCAUAAUUUAUGCUUGUAUUAAGUGGACAUAAUCUUAAAAUGUAGAUAUCCAUACAGAAAUCAAUCAAU